rfam:Perkinsus marinus ATCC 50983 gcontig_1104296400278, whole genome shotgun sequence.
GGGCGUGUGGUGUAGUGGUAUCACGUCUGCUUUGCAUGCAGAAGGCCCCGGGUUCGAACCCCGGCACGUCCA